AGAGUUUGAUCCUGGCUCAGAUUGAACGCUGGCGGCAGGCCUAACACAUGCAAGUCGAACGGUAACAGGAAGAAGCUUGCUUCUUUGCUGACGAGUGGCGGACGGGUGAGUAAUGUCUGGGAAACUGCCUGAUGGAGGGGGAUAACUACUGGAAACGGUAGCUAAUACCGCAUAACGUCGCAAGACCAAAGAGGGGGACCUUCGGGCCUCUUGCCAUCGGAUGUGCCCAGAUGGGAUUAGCUAGUAGGUGGGGUAACGGCUCACCUAGGCGACGAUCCCUAGCUGGUCUGAGAGGAUGACCAGCCACACUGGAACUGAGACACGGUCCAGACUCCUACGGGAGGCAGCAGUGGGGAAUAUUGCACAAUGGGCGCAAGCCUGAUGCAGCCAUGCCGCGUGUAUGAAGAAGGCCUUCGGGUUGUAAAGUACUUUCAGCGGGGAGGAAGGGAGUAAAGUUAAUACCUUUGCUCAUUGACGUUACCCGCAGAAGAAGCACCGGCUAACUCCGUGCCAGCAGCCGCGGUAAUACGGAGGGUGCAAGCGUUAAUCGGAAUUACUGGGCGUAAAGCGCACGCAAGCGGUUUGUUAAGUCAGAUGUGAAAUCCCCGGGCUCAACCUGGGAACUGCAUCUGAUACUGGCAAGUUUGGGUCUCGUAGAGGGGGUAGAAUUCCAGUGUAGCGGUGAAAUGCGAGAGAUCUGGAGGAAUACCGUGGCGAAAGGNGCNCCUGGACGAGACUGACGGCUCAGUGCGAAAGCGUGGGGAGCAAACAGAAUAGAUACCCUGGUAGUUCACNCNUAACGAUGUCGACUGGAAGUGUGCCCUUGAGGNNGGCUUCNNGCUACGCGUAAGUCGACGCCUGGGA
rnacentral:rRNA from 1 species